UACGUAGGAUCCAAGCGUUGUCCGGAUUUACUGGGAGUAAAGGGUGCGCAGGCGGACUGGUUAGUCUGGGGUGAAAUCUCAUCGCUUAACGGUGAAACUGCCUUAGAUACUGCCAGUCUUGAAUUAGGGAGAGGUUCGUGGAAUUCCGAGUGUAGCAGUGAAAUGUGUAGAUAUUCGGAAGAACACCAGUGGCGAAGGCAGCGAACUGGCCCUUAAUUGACGCUCAGGCACGAAAGCAUGGGGAUCAAACAGG
rnacentral:rRNA from 1 species